CAGUAGCCACGGUAAUACGUAGGGCGCAAGCGUUGUCCGGAAUUAUUGGGCGUAAAGAGCUCGUAGGCGGUCUGUCGCGUCUGGUGUGAAAUCCCGAGGCUCAACCUCGGGCUUGCAUCGGGUACGGGCAGACUAGAGUGCGGUAGGGGAGACUGGAAUUCCUGGUGUAGCGGUGGAAUGCGCAGAUAUCAGGAGGAACACCGAUGGCGAAGGCAGGUCUCUGGGCCGCAACUGACGCUGAGGAGCGAAAGCAUGGGGAGCGAACAGGAUUAGAUACCCCCGUAGUCCCUGUCUCUUAUAC
rnacentral:rRNA from 1 species